AAGUCCAACUUCGAUCACCCCAUAGAGAUGCGCAGCAUCAAUUCUGGAGAGCAAGGAGCCCACCUUACCUUUCAGCCAGUAUUUGUCAAACACGGGCAUUCGGAGAAGGCAGAAGAGAAAGAAAAAGCUUUUACCUUUAAAUAAAUUCAUCAAAAGAUGACAACUUAAAUUACCUAAGCAAAAAAGACCACUGCAGUUCAUAUCAAGGAACAGAGAGUCCCAGAAGCUAACAAAGUCAAAGAAAUAAAAGUGCCAUUGCCCCAAAUGAAGACUUACCACGAGAUCAACAAAAGAGAAUAAAUCUUGGAAUAAUAAUAAUGUAAAAAGUUCUUCCUUUCAGAUUUUUAUUAUAACACCAGGUAGUUUUUUCAGAUGCAUCAGGUGAAGCUUUUUACGUAUGUAUGUGUGCAUGUAUACGUGUAUGUAUGCAGCCUUUUAAAACCUUUGUUGGGUCUAACAAAACUAGAUUACAUACAAAAGGACUUGAGCAGAACUUAAAUCAAAAUUCUGUCUCCCUCAUUUCUCAUGGUGCCUACAGCUCUGUCCUCUCCAGCGGCAGAGGGGCAGUGGGCUCCAGACUCAAUAAAUCCCACUGACUUUGAGCAAACUACUGACUCUCUCUGCAUCUCAGAGACUUCACCUAUAACACUGAGACAAUGUAAGUGUAUAUCUCAUAGGUUUUUGUUAUAAUUACAAAGUUAUUACAUGAAGAGCACACAUAAAAGUAUACAGCAAAGGCUAGAUAGAAAGAAAUGGGUACAUUUAUUUCUAGUACUCAUUUUUGUCUUCAUCUCACUUAGGGUUUUGUUGGAUUAAAUAUGAUUUAGUAGAAAGCCUCAAUUAUAAAAUAUUUAAAAAGUAAUUUUACUACUUUUCACUAUUUUUAGUAAUUUGAAGUAAGCACUGAAUAUUUUAAGUAGCCUGUCCAAGUUAGCUUCAAUGGUACAAAACUGUAAUUAGAAAUAUUUUCAAAUUAAUUUGCUAAAAUAUUGGAAAAAGGGUUUAUGCUUCUACCUUAUGUAAAUUUUUAAGAAAACUAGUUAUAGACAGUAUCUUUGCUUUGAGUCCAAACUUGUUUAGUGAGCAAACAUUCUAAAUCAAAUAGAGUCUAAGUUCUGAGUUUUUACAGCAGUUGUGUUCUAGCAUUUAAUGUCUUUUCGCAUCAACUUUUUUAGAAAGUGAGAAACUACCUUUUAAAGCCCUUUCUAAUGAAAAGAAAGCCUCCCAAUAUAGUUAGCCCUCCGUACCUGCAGGUUCUGCAUCCAUGGAUUCAACCAACCAUGUAUUGAAAAUACUUGGGGAAAAAAAUUUCAUAAAGUUUCAAAAAGCAGAACUUGAAUUUGCUGUGCGCUGGCAACGAUUUAGUAGUUACACUGUAUUUCCAACGAUCUACUAGCAUGUACAUCAUAUUAGGUAUUAUAAGUUAUUUAGAGAUGAUUUAAAGUCUGUGGGGGAUGUGUGUAGGUUAGAUGGAAAUACUAUGCCGUUUUUAUAUAAGGGACUUGAGCAUCCACAGAUUCUGGUAUCUGAGAGGGUGCCCAAUCCCCCUCAGAUACCGAGGGACGAGGAUGACUAUAUACCGCUUUAUACUGCUUACUCAGAGGCAGUUUAUUUGAAACUGAUACAGAAUUCUUAAAAUUAGUAAAGAAUUUUAUAAAUAUCACAAAGGAGCUUGUUGAGUAAAAAGGAUCAAAAGAGAUUCACAAGAUACAUAUGCAGUCACCUAGGAAGGUUCCUGGGCUGUCAUUUCAUCCUCUCUUUUGUGAUUCACCCUCAAAAGCCCACUGUAGUAGAAAGAAGGGAAAGGGAUGAAUGAAUGAAGAAAAUUUGCACAUCAGAAAUACCAAAAAUCACCACCCCCCACCCUGACCCCUUAAAUCGAAGCGUAGCUUCUUUUCCAUCUCACUUUUCUGGAACGAAUAUCUGAGUACUGUCCUUUAAAGUGCCUGCCCUCUCUCCUCCUACUUCAAUAAAUGCUUACUGAGUAGCUACUCUACAGAAUCACUUUGCCCGAUAGAAUGGGGGAUAAAAGAUAAAUGAAGCAUUGUACUUGUGUCAUGUGACAAAAGAGGAUUAUUACUAUUGACAGCUACCCUGUAUGGAGAAACACCUAUACACUGGACAACACUUGUACACUGGGUAACUUACAGAUAGUAGCUCAUUUUUAUCCUCACAGAAGAUCCCACUAGCUAGAUAUUAUCUCCAGUUUAUAGAUGAAGAAAUGGAAGCUUAGAUUAAGUUAUGGAAUUUGCCCCAAAUCAGACAGUGAUUAAAUGGUAAAAAGCCAAGAUUCAAUCCAGGCAGUUUGACUACUAGGUCUUGUUUUUAACCAUCUGUGGUCUAUGGAAAAGCAUACACACUGAAUUCAUCAUAAUGCCAAGCAGAGGCAGUCAUUUAAUGUGAUUUGAAGGGGCUCUAUGAAUGUAUUUUAAAGUUAUAUUUUUAACUUCAAGAUUAAAAAAAAAAAGAAUAUUAGCACCACUCCAUAGAGCAAGAAGGUUCAUCUGGAAAAUUAAAAAUAAUUUUAACCAAUACACUUCUAAAAUUAAUCCAGAGAUUAUUUUAACCUCUCUGAAACCAUUUCAUUUAUAACAAGUAAACCGUAGAUAUACAUAAUGAGACGUUUUCUCUGGGUAAUCCUUCUAAACCUUAGAUGUCUCUGGAGAGUCUUUAAGAAUUUUGGAAAUAUUUUAUAAUGCUUUACAAAGUUUGAAACAAUAUUUUAUUUCAUAAUCCUAUUUUUCAAGGAGUUUUCUUAUGGAAAACUAAAUUUUGGUACAUAUAUAACUAAGGCAAAUUAUCUAUGUUAACAGUCUCACAUAUUUAGCAUUUAUGGUCAGUUUGUUCUUAACUGUUGAGAUAAAUCCAGCUGAAGACUCUGUUGAAAAUUGUAUAACAAUGUUGUUACAAUGGAAUGGUUUGAGAUAGGCUUGAAUUUGAGAUAAUCGAUUUAUAAGACUGUAGGCUGGUGUAGCUACUGAAUCACCUACCAAAAAUUUUCUUUUUUAAUAUUGUAUCAUCAAAGCUCUCAGUAUAGGUUUAAGUAAAUGUUGGAUGAAUAAGCAAAUGACUAAGUACAUUUGUUUAAACAAGUUUUUAGCUGAUACUGAUGAAGAGUGUUUGACUCUUACAGGUUAAAGAAAAGUGCCUACUUUGAUAAAAGGGAAUUUUUAUUUUCCUAUUGUAGAGGCAAACUGUAUUUCUUUCUCUGUUUUUGAUAUCUGCAGUCAGAAGGUCCAGCUAGUUGGUUACGAGUCGUAGCCUAGGGCACUCUUUAGAGGGAAGGUGUAAUUUUACCUAUUGGCAUAAGCACAAGGAUACACCAUAUAUGGCUGAAAGGCCUAAGCCAGCAUGAAACCCCAUGAAUCAGUGCAAACUUUUGGAGGACUGGACUCUACGGUAGAAUUCAGGGUGACUUUAAAAGGAGUAGAAUAUUCAAAGUUUAAGAAUAACAUAAGGACAGAGCUGUGAUUCACAACAGUUGGUUAAGGAUAUACAGGAAUGUAACAAAUUUGUACCUAGUGUUUAAUUAUUUUAAAAACUUACUCCAGAGCAGCAUUUUCCAAAGUAUGUCCAGUGGAAUGUUAAUAGAUGCCUCUUGCAAAAAAGACCCACAGUUAAAUAGCUAAAGUUAAGGAAGUUUCUUUAGAGCUUCUACAGAAUUCUAAAGGCAAGUAAAGGGAAUGCACUAUUAUCCUAACUACUCUGACCAUGAAACCCUUUUUCUUGGAACAUUUCUUGGGGUUAUUAUUCGAUAGAACAUAUUUUGAGAAAUGCUGUUCAAACAGAAUCAUCUGUUCCUUGAAUGUUUGUUAAAUUUAAAAAUAAUUUAAAUUAAUAAUUCUAAUCCAGAGCUCAAAUAACACACCUUGUAUUCUAAUCAUUAACGUCUAUGGAUCAAGGUUCCUAUUGCCUCUUAGUAGCAGUAUAAUCUCAAUUGUAGGAAACAUAUGUAAAGGAAAAAGUAGCCUAUCUGGUACUGAAUUGUAAAAAAGUUAUAAGGUAACUAUAAAGUUGCAAUCCCAUAUCAUUUCAAAUUGUUUUUUAUUACACACACACACACACACACACACACACACACACACACCUAGAAAGGUACCAUCCCAUAUUUCUCAUAAGUCUUUUCAAAGAACCUACAUGGUGAUGGAUGCUUAAUGGUUAUUUUAUUUGAAAACUUUUGGGGGGAGGGAGUAUGGUGUUAGAUAAGGGAAAGGGAAUCUGUGAUAAUGAAACCCACAGAAAAGCCUCAAAACCCUCAGAUCUCAAUAUUACAGCAUCUGAAGAGCUUUGGUUCCAAGAUUUGGUUAUUUAAGAUGAUGGAACGUUAUCUUCCUGUGCACACAUUUUUGUGUCCACUAAUGGUUUGGUUAUACAAUUCUGUUAGUUGUUAGUGAACUUAAGGUAUAUUAUGGAUUAAUCAAGUCUUCAUUGGCCUAACCACCACAAGUAACAGGAAUUUACCUGAGAGUUCCAAAUUCAGAGGCCCAAACAUGGCUCUGUUUGUUGCAAUCUAGUUAACAGAAUUAUGGUUUGCCUAAAUGAAACCACUGGUAAGAAUGCUCCUAGAAUGAAGCAAAGAAUUAGGUAAAGACUCUGAAAAGGAUAGAAGAGUGAUUUGGCAGUAAGCAAGUUAGGGAAUGUCAGUUUUUCUCAUGGUCUCUUAUUUUGAUGAAUGGCAUGAUUACCCCACCUGGUACUAAGCCCCAAACUUGGAAUUCUAAAACCUCCUUCUCCUUGGACCCCACUUUUGAAUUCUGUCAAUUCUGCCACUCAUAUCUUUCUCAAAUCCUUCUUUUCCAUCCUCACUGCUUCUAUUAGGUUGAACCAUAUGACACUUGUUUCUUUGUGUCAAAAUGGUUGAAUACCAGCAACUUCAAAUUGCUUAACCCAAAACCUUAAUUCAGGCCUUUAUCAUCUCGCACGUAUAUUUUUGAAAAACUAUGUUUUCCUUGCCCUUAGUAAGCCCUAGAGUCGUCUUUCUAAUGAAAACCAAAUAAUAGCACCCUGGCGCUUAAAAUCCUUUGGGAGCUUCCUAAUUCUCUAUAGGAUAAAUUCAUACACCUUAAGCUGGCACAUAAUUCAUCUUGAUCCCCUCUUCUCUUCCUCUCUGGUCACUGUCUUUACACACUCUGCUCCAGCAAUACUGCUUUACUUGCAGUUUUCCUCUCGGACUAUGUUGUUGUAGACCUCUGUGCUGCUGACACACUGUGGUCCAAGUUAACAGCUGCUUUUGCUGCAGGGAAAGAUGCCAAGAGGUAGCAUCUGAUGGGGAGGAACAUUCCUGUGGCCAACCAGCUGGAACAGUUACUAUGGUGAAGUCAAUUAUUUAUACGAAGGAGAUUUACACUAGUCAAGGAAUACCUUUACUUUCAAGCUUUUUCUCUUGCCAUCUUCUUUUAAUCUGUUUCAUAAAUAAAUGAACGGU